CAGGAGCCCAGCCAGGUCCCAGGGCUGUCUCUGACACCCAUUUUUUGUGGUGGCUGGUGUCCAGGGCUAGUGCUCACUGUGGGCACAUGAAAUUACAAACCUGUCUCCAGGAUCCUUUGUGAAGUCUGUUGAACUGUGAGCAUGGAUUCCAAUAGCUAGGCAUCCCCUGUGUGCAUCAUUUCCUUUGUGGUCACGGACCUGGAAAGAUGCUCUGUUCCAGUGAAGACUCUUUAAUAUGAAUACCAGACUCAUUACUAGGAUUUUCUCCAUCCCCAGAUGAAAAAAAAAAAAAAAAAAAAAAAAAUUUUCCUUUAAUGGCAGAAUCACAGGCAUCCCAUGAACAACCUCCACUGAGUAUUUCUGGAAUUUAAAAUGAAAAUAAGUGGAAAGGGCAUGACAAUCAGUAUCUUUUUGAAAUGAAAGAGAGGGAAGGAACAACCCUCUUUCCCUGCAAAGGCCUGGUUUCACUUUAAAUUUGGUAUAUUCAACUCCUGUGUAGAUAAAUUGACAAUACUGAUGACGUUUGUGAUUAAUUAUUAAUACAACCCUUAAGAGGCUGAGCUGUGAGAUGAGACACACUAUCCAGGGUGCAAACACGGAACAAAAAUGUGGGGCAAGCACAGAGCACAAGGAGCUGGAAAGACGGGAGCAAGAUAGCUUUGAAAGGCACUGUCAUGGGAAACGGAUUCUGCCUGGAGACCAGACAUUGUUCAGGAUAUCCCUUCCACCUCCGCGUGCUAUUCAGCAUUAACACAGCCGUAAGCAAAGCCCUGAGACUAUUGAAAUUUCUUUCUUCAUCUCCCCCUUUCUCUUUGACAAAUGUGUGACAAGGAUGCAAUUGUUUGAAAGCCCAGUGGUGGAGAAAACAGAGAGCGAAGCCUUCAGACGUGCCUCAGUGAUUUAGAAGCCUUCCCCCAAGCUUGUGAAAAAGGUCACGGGAGGUCUCCCAUAGGGUUCAGCUUCCCAGCAGGACUCUAGAUGCCAAUGUAAAGGCACUUAAAUUCCUUUAACAGCUGACCCCUUUGUGGAUGUUCCCACCUAGGAUUAUCCUGGCUCUCUGGUUGAAGAAUAGCCCUUAGCCAACUAUUGGAUCACAGGCCCUUCCCUUUGAAUAUCUGCAGUUUGCGUUGGGUAAUCGCCCAUCCAGCCAGCAGGAAGUGGCUCCUUCAUUUAAAUGACAAAAGCUUUUGAACGAUGAAGAUAAGAGUUCUUCUGAUGAAUCAUGGGCAGGGCUGGUUUGGGAAAUAUUGUUUCAUGCUACCCAGAAGUUACUCAGCAGCUUGCUGGUAAUAU
rnacentral:lncRNA from 1 species